UUAUAUGCUCUGAUAUAUUUCAAAAUUCAAACUUGCUCUGAUACAUCUUUUGAAAUUUUAUUCACCUUGAUACAUCUUAAGAAAUUUAUUUUACUCUGAUACAUCCUAUAAUUUCUUUUAACUUGCUCUGAUACAUGAUAAAAUUUAAUCCGAUACAGUGUGAAGGUUUCUCUGAUAAAUUAUAACAUUUGAUCCGAUACAGUAUGAGAAAGUUUCUCUUAUAUAUUAUAACAUUUGUUCUGAUACAAUGAGAAAUUUACUCUGACAUUUGCUCUAAUACAGUG
rnacentral:lncRNA from 1 species